rnacentral:rRNA from 1 species
AUACGGAGGAUGCGAGCGUUAUCCGGAUUUAUUGGGUUUAAAGGGUGCGCAGGCGGCCAUUUAAGUCAGCGGUUAAAUCGUGGGGCUCAACCCCAUUCUGCCGUUGAUACUGGGUGGCUUGAUUGCGGUCGAGGUUGGCGGAAUUCGUUGUGUAGCGGUGAAAUGCAUAGAUAUGACGAAGAACACCGAUUGCGUAGGCAGCUGGCCAGACCGCAAAUGACGCUCAUGCACGAAAGGGCGGGAAUCGAACAGGAUUAGAUACCCUGGUAGUCCGCACAGUAAACGAUGAAUACUUGUUUUCGGCGAUAUAAUGUCGGAGGCAAAGCGAAAGCAAUAAGUAUUCCACCUGGGGAGUAAGCCGGCAACGGUGAAACUCAAAGGAAUUGACGGGG